rnacentral:rRNA from 1 species
UGGGGAAUCUUAGGCAAUGGGGGAAACCCUGACCUAGCCAUGCCGCGUGGAGGAAGACACCCCUAUGGGGCGUAAACUCCUUUUCUGCCGGAAGAAAACCCUGUUUUGCAGGGCGUGACGGUACGGCAGGAAUAAGCACCGGCUAACUCCGUGCCAGCAGCCGCGGUAAUACGGAGGGUGCAAGCGUUGUCCGGAAUCACUGGGCGUAAAGGGUGUGUAGGUGGGAUAGCAAGUCAGAGGUGAAAGCCUGCGGCUUAACCGUAGAAGUGCCUUUGAAACUGCUAUUCUUGAGUCCCGGAGAGGUUGUUGGAAUUCGUGGUGUAGCGGUGAAAUGCGUAGAUAUCACGAGGAACACCAGAGGCGUAAGCGAACAACUGGACGGGUACUGACGCUGAGGCACGAGAGCGUGGGGAGCAAACA